UGAGGAACAUGACCUUCGGCGGGGGAUAGCCGGCCCAACGGCCGGGUAAUACCGCGUACGACCACAUGGGGACAUCCCUGAGUGGUGAAAGCAGCAAUGCGCCGAUGGAGUGCCUCGCGGCCUAUCAGCUAGUUGGUGAGGUAACGGCUCACCAAGGCAACGACGGGUANCUGGUCUGAGAGGAUGGCCAGCCACAGUUGGGACUGAGAAACGGCCCAGACUCCGUAGGG
rnacentral:rRNA from 1 species